AUCUAUCUAUCUAUCUAUCUAUCUAUCUAUCUAUCUAUCUAUCUGAAACAGAUUAUAGAUUAGGUUUUAGAUAGAUAGAUAGAUAGAUAAUCAUUAUACCUGGUCUUCUCCAAUAUGGUGGGGGUCGUGUCACAUGAUAGGGGAGGCUUGGGGGGGCUUUAGUUGCAAAAGGUUGAGAACCUCUGAUAUAGAGUAACCAAUAAUGGCAACAUUUAAAAAAAAAAGAACAUCUAAGUUCUGUGACUAAAAUAAGAUUCGCUUGUAUGCUUACAGAUACUAGUCCUGUACAUUUUUUAAAAUCAUAUUUAUUAUUGUUGAUGAAAACAUACUAAAUUGUAGAUGAUAAAGCCAUUUUGUCCCAGGUGGUGGAGGGGGAGGAGUGCCUCGUGCUGUAAAUGAGCUGGAAUCUCUCUGUGAAGGAGAGUAAUUACAGCCUGAUCAAGAAGAAGUGUCUGGCCAUCAAGUGGGCGGUCCUCACCCUCCCAUACUACCUACAGGGACUCCCCUUCACCCUCUGUUCUGAUCAUGCCUCGCUCAAAUGGCUCCACCGAUGAAGGACACCAACGCACAGAUCACUCGUUGGUAUCUGGCACUUCAAGUUCGAGUUGGUCCACAGGCAUAGAUAGUAGUGGUGGAUUUGCUCCCCCCGCAAUGGGGAGGUGCGGGGUUCGGCUGCAGGCUGGAUGAGUUGGGGUUGCUGGCUGCAGAUGGAGAGGAGGAGACACUAUGAGCCAGAGAAAGACAGAGCUGUCCUCGGCUGCUCACCAAAUCACAAUGUGACCUUGAACCUGAAUGCGGUGAGCCCACAAACUAGUUUGGGCUGUUUGCUUUCUUUUGCUAUGAAUUUGAAUUUUAGAGAACAUGUGCUGAAAUGUGCUCGGGGUUAUGUUACAGAGAAACCAGAAAGCACAAAGUCCUCUAUUCUGAAAACAUACUGACUGUUACAAAGCACCGACACCCAGGACUCCUUCAGUAAAUGUUACACAAACAUCUCCCAAACACAACCUUUUUGCUUUUCUUGUCGUUUUGCUGCAAGUAUUCGCUGUAUAUGCUGCAUUUUUAUCAAUCAUUUCAAAAAGAGAGGCUGGUGAAGUUGUGACCGAUUAUAGCUCUUAUAACAUACAGUAAUGUGAAAAAAUAAGUACACCCCAUGGAAAUUGUUGUUUUUUUUUUUACGCAUUUGGCCAGCAAACAUGUGAUCCUCUUUGAAACCGUGACUAUUAAUAAAG
ensembl:lncRNA